rnacentral:rRNA from 1 species
ACCGUACUCCUACGGGAGGCAGCAGUGGGGAAUUUUGGACAAUGGGGGCAACCCUGAUCCAGCAAUGCCGCGUGAGUGAAGAAGGCCUUCGGGUUGUAAAGCUCUUUUGUCAGGGAAGAAACGGUAGUAGCUAAUAUCUAUUACUAAUGACGGUACCUGAAGAAUAAGCACCGGCUAACUACGUGCCAGCAGCCGCGGUAAUACGUAGGGUGCAAGCGUUAAUCGGAAUUACUGGGCGUAAAGCGUGCGCAGGCGGUUGUGUAAGUCAGAUGUGAAAUCCCCGGGCUCAACCUGGGAAUUGAAUUUGAGACUGAACGGCUAGAGUGUGUCAGAGGGGGGUAGAAUUCCACGUGUAGCAGUGAAAUGAGUAGAUAUGUGGAAGAAUACCGAUGGCGAAGGCAGCCCCCUGCGAUAACACUGACGCUCAUGCACGAAAGCGUGGGGAGCAAGCAGGAUUAGAAACCCCAGUAGUCCUUGAC